GUGGUGGUGCAUGGCCGUUCU
rnacentral:ncRNA from 2 species